rnacentral:rRNA from 1 species
CCCGUACACAAAAGUGCAUGUGUUGUGAACUCGAAGAGUAGGGCGGGACACGUGGUAUCCUGUCUGAAUAUGGGGGGACCAUCCUCCAAGGCUAAAUACUCCUGACUGACCGAUAGUGAACCAGUACCGUGAGGGAAAGGCGAAAAGAACCCCGGCGAGGGGAGUGAAAAAGAACCUGAAACCGUGUACGUACAAGCAGUGGGAGCCUCUUUAUGGGGUGACUGCGUACCUUUUGUAUAAUGGGUCAGCGACUUAUAUUCUGUAGCAAGGUUAACCGAAUAGGGGAGCCGAAGGGAAACCGAGUCUUAACUGGGCGUUAAGUUGCAGGGUAUAGACCCGAAACCCGGUGAUCUAGCCAUGGGCAGGUUGAAGGUUGGGUAACACUAACUGGAGGACCGAACCGACUAAUGUUGAAAAAUUAGCGGAUGACUUGUGGCUGGGGGUGAAAGGCCAAUCAAACCGGGAGAUAGCUGGUUCUCCCCGAAAGCUAUUUAGGUAGCGCCUCGUGAAUUCAUCUUCGGGGGUAGAGCACUGUUUCGGCUAGGGGGUCAUCCCGACUUACCAACCCGAUGCAAACUGCGAAUACCGAAGAAUGUUAUCACGGGAGACACACGGCGGGUGCUAACGUCCGUCGUGAAGAGGGAAACAACCCAGACCGCCAGCUAAGGUCCCAAAGUCAUGGUUAAGUGGGAAACGAUGUGGGAAGGCACAGACAGCCAGGAUGUUGGCUUAGAAGCAGCCAUCAUUUAAAGAAAGCGUAAUAGCUCACUGGUCGAGUCGGCCUGCGCGGAAGAUGUAACGGGGCUAAACCAUGCACCGAAGCUGCGGCAGCGACACUAUGUGUUGUUGGGUAGGGGAGCGUUCUGUAAGCCGUUGAAGGUGUGCUGUGAGGCAUGCUGGAGGUAUCAGAAGUGCGAAUGCUGACAUAAGUAACGAUAAUGCGGGUGAAAAACCCGCACGCCGGAAGACCAAGGGUUCCUGUCCAACG